GACGAACGCUGGCGGUGUGCUUAACACAUGCAAGUCGUGCGACGAACCAGACUUCGGUCUGGGGCAAAGCGGCGAACGGGUGAGUAACACGUGGGUAAUCUGCCCCGAUGACUGGGACAACCCGAGGAAACUCGGGCUAAUACCGGAUGUGGUACGGAGACAUAAGUCUCUUUACUAAAGGUAGCUUCGGCUUCCGCAUUGGGAGGGGCCCGCGGCCCAUUAGCUAGUUGGUGGGGUCAAGGCCUACCAAGGCAACGAUGGGUAGCUGGUCUGAGAGGACGAUCAGCCACACUGGGACUGAGACACGGCCCAGACUCCUACGGGAGGCAGCAGUGGGGAAUCUUGCGCAAUGCGCGAAAGCGUGACGCAGCAACACCGCGUGAGGGAAGACGGCCUUAGGGUUGUAAACCUCUUUCAGAUGGGACGAAGGUGAUGCGGUGAAUAGCCGAUGUCAUUGACGGUACCGUCAGAAGAAGCUCCGGCUAACUACGUGCCAGCAGCCG
rnacentral:rRNA from 1 species